rnacentral:rRNA from 1 species
CAGCAGCCACGGUAAAACGUAGGUCCCGAGCGUUGUCCGGAUUUAUUGGGCGUAAAGCGAGCGCAGGCGGUUAGAUAAGUCUGAAGUUAAAGGCUGUGGCUUAACCAUAGUACGCUUUGGAAACUGUUUAACUUGAGUGCAAGAGGGGAGAGUGGAAUUCCAUGUGUAGCGGUGAAAUGCGUAGAUAUAUGGAGGAACACCGGUGGCGAAAGCGGCUCUCUGGCUUGUAACUGACGCUGAGGCUCGAAAGCGUGGGGAGCAAACAGGAUUAGAGACCCCAGUAGUCCCUGUCUCUUAUACC